GACUUGUUUGCGUAAUGGAGAUUUUAAACAUUUCAAAAUUUUCUUUGCGCAGCAGAAGCUGCUUCUCCUACGAUACAACCACUGGUUUAAGGGCUAAAAUGUUGAGAUGACUGGGUUGGGUGGAUGGAUGAAGAGAGGAAUGCAUGCAUGUUUAGAGUUUGAUUUAACAAAUGCAUGAACAUUUUCAGAUCAAUUUAAAAAGCACUCCUGUUAAGCUAUUUACUUUCUUUAA